rnacentral:rRNA from 1 species
GACGAACGCUGGCGGCGUGCUUAACACAUGCAAGUCGAACGGAAAGGCCCUGCUUUUGUGGGGUGCUCGAGUGGCGAACGGGUGAGUAACACGUGAGUAACCUGCCCUUGACUUUGGGAUAACUUCAGGAAACUGGGGCUAAUACCGGAUAGGAGCUCCUGCUGCAUGGUGGGGGUUGGAAAGUUUCGGCGGUUGGGGAUGGACUCGCGGCUUAUCAGCUUGUUGGUGGGGUAGUGGCUUACCAAGGCUUUGACGGGUAGCCGGCCUGAGAGGGUGACCGGCCGCAUUGGGACUGAGAUACGGCCCAGACUCCUACGGGAGGCAGCAGUGGGGAAUAUUGCACAAUGGGCGGAAGCCUGAUGCAGCAACGCCGCGUGCGGGAUGACGGCCUUCGGGUUGUAAACCGCUUUCGCCUGUGACGAAGCGUGAGUGGCGGUAAUGGGUAAAGAAGCACCGGCUAACUACGUG